rnacentral:rRNA from 1 species
AGAACGAACGCUGGCGGCAUGCCUAAUACAUGCAAGUCGAACGAACUCUUCGGAGUUAGUGGCGCACGGGUGCGUAACGCGUGGGAAUCUGCCCCUUGGUUCGGAAUAACAGUUGGAAACGACUGCUAAUACCGGAUGAUGACGAAAGUCCAAAGAUUUAUCGCCAAGGGAUGAGCCCGCGUAGGAUUAGCUAGUUGGUGAGGUAAAGGCUACACCAAGGCAACGAUCCUUAGCUGGUCUGAGAGGAUGAUCAGCCACACGUGGGACUGAGA